UACGGAGGGUGCAAGCGUUAAUCGGAAUUACUGGGCGUAAAGCGCACGUAGGCGGCCUUUUAAGUCAGAUGUGAAAGCCCUGGGCUCAACCUGGGAACUGCAUCUGAUACUGGAAAGCUAGAAUGUGGGAGAGGGGAGUGGAAUUUCCGGUGUAGCGGUGAAAUGCAUAGAGAUCGGAAGGAACACCAGUGGCGAAGGCGGCUCCCUGGACCAACAUUGACGCUGAGGUGCGAAAGCGUGGGUAGCAAACAGGAUUAGAUACCCCCGUAGUCC
rnacentral:rRNA from 1 species